AAGUGACUAAGCGUACACGGUGGAUGCCUUGGCAGUCAGAGGCGAUGAAGGACGUAUUAACUUGCGAUAAGCCCAGAUUAGGCAGUAAAAGCCACUUGAGUCUGGGAUUUCCGAAUGGGGAAACCCAACUGCAUAAGCAGUUACUGUUAACUGAAUACAUAGGUUAACAGGGCGAACCGGGGGAACUGAAACAUCUAAGUACCCCGAGGAAAAGAAAUC
rnacentral:rRNA from 1 species